rnacentral:rRNA from 1 species
GAUGAACGCUGGCGGCGUGCUUAACACAUGCAAGUCGAGCGAAGCACCUUAGACAGAAGCCUGCGGGCGGAAGACUUUGGUGACUUAGUGGCGGACGGGUGAGUAACGCGUGGGUAACCUGCCCUGUACCGGGGGACAACAGUUGGAAACGACUGCUAAUACCGCAUACGCGCACAGCAUCGCAUGAUGCAGUGUGAAAAACUCCGGUGGUACAGGAUGGACCCGCGUCUGAUUAGAUAGUUGGGGAGGUAACGGCUUACCAAGGCAACGAUCAGUAGCCGACUUGAGAGAGUGAUCGGCCACAUUGGGACUGAGACACGGCCCAAACUCCUACGGGGGGCAGCAGUGGGGAAUAUUGCACAAUGGGGGAAACCCUGAUGCAGCGACGCCGCGUGAAGGAAGAAGUAUUUCGGUAUGUAAACUUCUAUCAGCAAGGAAGAAAAUGACGGUAAUUGACUAAGAAGCCCCGGCUAAAUACGUGCCAGCAGCCGCCGUAA